rnacentral:lncRNA from 1 species
GUGAUUGAGUGUGGAUCAAGGACUGGAAUGUAGCUUUUUUGUGCCCACAGUGGAAAGGACCCCAGAUUGUCAUCCUGACCACUCCCACCACUGUGAAGGUAGAGGGAAUCUCAGCCUGGAUCCACCACAGCCAUGUAAAACCUGCAGUGCCUGAAACCUGGGAGGCAAGACCAAGCCCGGACAACCCUUGCAGAGUGACCCUGAAGAUAACAAGCCCUGCUCCAGUCACACCCAGAAGUUGACUGUUCCACACACGGCCGAAGCAUGAGGAAACUCAUCAUGGAACUCACUUUUCUUAAAUUUUGGACUUGUACAGUAAGGACUUCAACUGACCUUCCUCAGACUGAGGUAUGGCAAAAAGUUAAAACAGUCUUUUUGUUUAAAAGGGACUUGUGUGUAUAAUGCCACCCAGUACAAGGUAUGCAGCCCAGGAAGUGACCAAUCCCCAUUGGAAAACAGGAGAGUAUGUAACUCUAGGAGUCAAUGGAACUGGACUGGCAGGAAGACCUGGGUAAUGUAGAUGACAGUGAGAACUCCCACUAGUGAGUGAGGUUCUCAAAGGGGGGAAUGAGGAGAGAAGCCAUUUCUCUUACUGUCUGUCUCUGAAGAGGAAGAGGAAGUAAAAUUUGAAAAACAGGAAUGAAGUCAGUGGCAAGACCAGCUGGUGCCACUGAUGACCCAGCUUGAGGUUAAAAGAUUAACCCUCCCCCCCACUCUAACCACAUGUGCUCUCAAUCCAUCACAACCCUUUCACGUGGAACCUCUUAGAGUUGUAAGCCCUUAAAAAGGGCCAGGAACUCUGUCUUCGGGGAGCUCGGCUCUUAAGAUGCUAGUCUGCUGACACUCCCAACAGAAUAAAAAAACCUUUUCUUUAA